GCCAGAUCUCACUUGUUGGUACACCUGUCUCCAGGGGUGGACUCCAAAUCAGGGGAUUUUGUCAGGCAAGGUGCAGGAGGAGAAAGAUAGCGAUGGGGACAGCCAGAUUCCAGCUGUGAGGCACCACUAACGAGCUGCAGCCCCAGGUAACACGGCAAGUAGAUGUAACGACUGAAGUUCUUUUGUCGGCAGCCAAUAGGAACCAACUACUUAACCAUCCUUCUUCAGAAAUACCCAGCAUCCCCUUCACUCCAGAGACCCAGACCUAGAAGUUGGGUGAACGAUCAUUUCUCCCCAGCAUGCUGGCUUGGAUCAGGAUUUUGUUCACUAAAAACCAUAUUGUUUUGUCAAUACGA
rnacentral:lncRNA from 1 species